rnacentral:rRNA from 1 species
AGCUCGAUGAGUAGGGCGGGACACGUGGUAUCCUGUCUGAAUAUGGGGGGACCAUCCUCCAAGGCUAAAUACUCCUGACUGACCGAUAGUGAACCAGUACCGUGAGGGAAAGGCGAAAAGAACCCCGGCGAGGGGAGUGAAAAAGAACCUGAAACCGUGUACGUACAAGCAGUGGGAGCACCCUUCGGGGUGUGACUGCGUACCUUUUGUAUAAUGGGUCAGCGACUUAUAUUCUGUAGCAAGGUUAACCGAAUAGGGGAGCCGGAGGGAAACCGAGUCUUAAUUGGGCGUUAAGUUGCAGGGUAUAGACCCGAAACCCGGUGAUCUAGCCAUGGGCAGGUUGAAGGUUGGGUAACACUAACUGGAGGACCGAACCGACUAAUGUUGAAAAAUUAGCGGAUGACCUGUGGCUGGGGGUGAAAGGCCAAUCAAACCGGGAGAUAGCUGGUUCUCCCCGAAAGCUAUUUAGGUAGCGCCUCGUGAAUUCAUCUCCGGGGGUAGAGCACUGUUUCGGCUAGGGGGCCAUCCCGGCUUACCAACCCGAUGCA